UGUAAAACAGGAAAGAUCCCCAAGUCCCCACUCGACCCAGGAAGUCCAACUGGCCUCACCUCUCAGUAAUAAUAACAAAUUGAAGGUGUGACUGGCACUGUUUUUUGCUUUCUUAACCCUUCCCCUUUACUUCUGUUUUUAACAAAACCCAGAUUUCACUCAUGAUGACAAUGUGCCUAUCCCUCGCAAUGAUUCUUGGGUGGUCUGGCCUGCCUGAAUGAUAUAAUCAUCCAGAUAGCUUUUAAAAAUACAGAUUCCUACUUUCCUUCCAUGAAUCUAAUUUAAUUGGUCAGAGGUGGGGCCUAGGCAUUAAGAAUUUAAAAAUCUCCACAAGGGUAGACAAUCAUUAUCAGGCAAUUGUGUUCUCUACCAGAUAUUUGCUUCCUAGGGUUUUUAAUCCCCAUGGAUGGUCAUGUUACCUGGUUCUGGUCAAUGAAACUUUGCUGGAUUUUCUGGAAAACUUUUUGCUUUUCUUCUGAAAGGAACAGAUGUCAGGAAAACCAAUGUUGCAUCACCUGCUUCUUUUCUGUCUUGAGUGCAGUUAUGAAGUCUUAUGCAGUGGCAGCCAUCUUGUAACCAUGAGGCACUUUACUAAGCAAAAAGAGAAAAAAAGAAAACAAAACAAAGCAAAACAAGGUACUGGCAAUAUGGUGGUGAACAAGCCUAAAGAGGCCCACGCUCAUGAAGUUAAAAGGGCAUUGCAAUGGCAACAUGUUGCUCUUUGGGAAUAGGAAAACGAUACAACCAGUAGUGGGCAUUCCUGCGACCUCUGACAGGUGCCACUCUUGUUACUCUUGGCUUUCUGUUUUCCUUUGGUAGAUUUAAAAGUAGUUUUGUGAAUUCUCAGGAAAACCCCACAACCAGGAAUGCCAACAGUUGGGAAAGAAGCAGAUGUAAGAGUUAGUUUCUCCAUAGAGUUUUCCUAAUAUUUUACCUCGAUUAAUUGCUUGCGAUAUUUAUAAAAAUCAUAUACAUAAGUUAUCGAUUUCUGUGUAAAAUAUUUUAAGAGGUUUUUAACAAUUACCCUGAGACAAUGGUAAAAAGCUAAUUAUUUAAAGAAAUGCCAAGGCCUCCAUAGUCCUGGGCUUGAAUAUUAUUGAUAUUUAAUUAUUGUCAUCUUAAUAUAAAGGUUCUUAUGAGGAGCCCACUGGGGUAAAUGCUUUACUAGCUCCCCUAUGGCUUCUUUUUAUAAAAAAGUGUUUUCAAAAUGUACUUGGGGGAUGAGGAAUAGAACAAACACCAAAAACCAAAAAGAAGGUUAUUCUUUUCCCAAAAUAACCAUGACGGCGGACACAGAUUCACCUUCAGCCAAAUCACAGCAGUAUAUGGGGGUCCCCACGUCUUCUUUAGGGCACCUGGUAAUCAUAUGAUAUUACUUAUUUAAAAAACUUAUGCAGAACAAACAGUCUCUAGAGGUGAGGGCCUUCAGGGGAAAUUGUCUAAGGACAGUUGGUGUUUCAUGGCUAUGUGUUUUCAGCCCAAUUUGUUGUUACGAAGAGAGAAGAGAAUAAAAAAUGUUCUGUUUAACCUUC